rnacentral:rRNA from 1 species
GAUGAACGCUGGCGGCGUGCCUAAUACAUGCAAGUCGAGCGAAUGGAUUAAGAGCUUGCUCUUAUGAAGUUAGCGGCGGACGGGUGAGUAACACGUGGGUAACCUGCCCAUAAGACUAGGGUAACUCCGGGAAACCGGGGCUAAUACCGGAUAACAUUUUGAACCGCAUGGUUCGAAAUUGAAAGGCGGCUUCAGCUGUCACUUAUGGAUGGACCCGCGUCGCAUUAGCUAGUUGGUGAGGUAACGGCUCACCAAGGCAACGAUGCGUAGCCGACCUGAGAGGGUGAUCGGCCACACUGGGACUGAGACACGGCCCAGACUCCUACGGGAGGCAGCAGUAGGGAAUCUUCCGCAAUGGACGAAAGUCUGACGGAGCAACGCCGCGUGAGUGAUGAAGGCUUUCGGGUCGUAAAACUCUGUUGUUAGGGAAGAACAAGUGCUAGUUGAAUAAGCUGGCACCUUGACGGUACCUAACCAGAAAGCCACGGCUAACUACGUGCCAGCAGCCGCCGUAA